rnacentral:rRNA from 1 species
UACCCGCUGAACUUAAGCAUAUCAAUAAGCGGAGGAAAAGAAACCAACAGGGAUUGCCCUAGUAACGGCGAGUGAAGCGGCAAAAGCUCAGAUUUGAAAUCUGUCGCUAUUUUGGCGGCCGAGUUGUAGUCUGUAGAGGUGUAUUCGAGUGUGGCUUUGGCUUAAGUUCCUUGGAACAGGGCGUCAUAGAGGGUGAGAACCCCGUUAACGGCCUUUGUCUUAUGCUCAUGUGAAUCUCCUUCAACGAGUCGAGUUGUUUGGGAAUGCAGCUCUAAAUGGGUGGUAAAUUCCAUCUAAAGCUAAAUACUGGCAAGAGACCGAUAGCGCACAAGUAGAGUGAUCGAAAGAUGAAAAGAACUCUGAACAGAGAGUUAAAUAGUACGUGAAAUUGUUGAAAGGGAAGCACUUCCGACCAGACGCACUUGCAGCCGAUCAAUCUUCAUUCUUGAGGGUGCACUCGGUUGUCUGUGGGUCAGCAUCAGUUAUGGCGGUGGGAAAAAGACUAAGGGAAUGUGGCUCCUUUCGGGGAGUGUUAUAGCCUUUGGUGCAAUGCUGCCUGCUGUGACUGAGGACCGCGCUUCGGUGAGGAUGCUGGCAUAAUGGUCGUAAGUGACCCGUCUUGAAACACGGACCAAGGAGUCUAACAUCUAUGCGAGUGUUUGGGUGUUCAAACCCUUACGCGGAAUGAAAGUAAAUGGAGGUGGGAACCGUAAGGUGCACCAUCGACCGAUCCUGAUGUUUUCGGAUGGAUUUGAGUAGGAGCAUAGCUGUUGGGACCCGAAAGAUGGUGAACUAUGCCUGAAUAGGGUGAAGCCAGAGGAAACUCUGGUGGAGGCUCGCAGCGGUUCUGACGUGCAAAUCGAUCGUCAAAUUUGGGUAUAGGGGCGAAAGACUAAUC